rnacentral:tRNA from 1 species
GGAAGUGUGCCUGAAUCAAAGGAUCACUUUGAUAGAGUGAAUUAUAAGAGUUAAAGCCUCUUCACUUCCU